AGUGUACUUAUCUUGUCUUUUUUCUUCCUGUAAAGAUUUUCCUUGUGUGCAGUCUUGAUACUUCCCAUCAUCCUACAGAGACAAAGCAUGGGCCAGCACUGACCAUAUUACAAUCCCGAGGGGAUAGAUCCCUACAGUAUAAGGAUGCAAAUUAAAAGGCAAACAGAAGGAGUGUUUGGCUUGGAUUAGUAAGAAGAGAAAAAAAAAGAUGCAGCUUCCACAGUCACAACACCCUAGAAAUGUUUGGGUACCAAUGUAGCUU